ACUCCUACGGGAGGCAGCAGUGAGGAAUAUUGGUCAAUGGGCGCAAGCAUGAACCAGCCAUGCCGCGUGCAGGCUGACGAUCCUAUGCAUUGUAAACUGCUUUUGUACUGGAAGAAACCCUCCUAGGUGUAGGAGCUUGACGGUACCGUAAGAAUAAGGAUCGGCUAACUCCGUGCCAGCAGCCGCGGUAAU
rnacentral:rRNA from 1 species